rnacentral:rRNA from 1 species
AUUCUAGAGCUAAUACAUGCUUUCAAGCCCGACUCUUAGGAAGGGCUGUAUUUAUUAGAUAACAAACCAAUAUUCCUUGCGUCUAUUGUGAUGACUCAUAAUAACUGAUCGAAUCGCAUGGACCUUGUCCGCGAUACGUCAUUCAAGUUUCUGCCCCAUCAGCUUUCGAUGGUAGUGUAUUGGACUACCAUGGCUUUAACGGGUAACGGAGGAUUAGGGUUCGAUUCCGGAGAGGGAGCCUGAGAAACGGCUACCACAUCUAAGGAAGGCAGCAGGCGCGUAAAUUACCCAAUCCUGACUCAGGGAGGUAGUG